UACGUAGGUGGCAAGCGUUGUCCGGAUUUACUGGGCGUAAAGAGCGCGCAGGCGGUCAGAUAAGUCGAAUGUGAAAGCCCCCGGCUCAACUGGGGAGGGUCAUUCGAUACUGUUCGACUCGAAGGCAGGAGAGGGAAGUGGAAUUCCCGGUGUAGUGGUGAAAUGCGUAGAUAUCGGGAGGAACACCAGUGGCGAAGGCGACUUCCUGGCCUGUUCUUGACGCUGAGGCGCGGAAAAGCUAGGGUAGCAAACGGGG
rnacentral:rRNA from 1 species